AGAGAGUGCAGUGAUGAUUGGUGAUCCCAGCUCACUUUGAGACCUAAAUUGGUCUAGGAAAUUUCAUAUCACCCUACAUCUGAGCAUCUCU